GAUGCAAAAUGCUCUGAGGGAUUUGUGAGAAAAGGAUAUGAUUGCAUUUAUGUCCCAUCAAGCCGCUUGCUAGAUCCAGGGGAAUGCCUAAUAUACGUCUGUAUUUGGUCACCAGCUUACAUCUGUCUGCUUAUGGAUUUAUGAGUUCAAAAAAAAAAACUAUUUUGUUCAAAAAAAAAAAAAGGCCUCUCAACAGAGCCAGUGACUAAUAACUAAAAGCGACAGGGAUGGCAGUCUCACACGCGCUCAAACACACACACACAAAGUGACAACCGCGCGCAACAAAGGCGACCAAAUCUGACACAUUUUCUCUGACAGGAGGAUAACAUUCUCCCACCCCUCAAGCCUAGCAUAUAUUAUCCCGUAUACCCCAUACAUGACCCCCUCCCCGGCCUCCCAACACACGUCACUUUUCAGAUAUUUGUUCUGAAGUGUGAAUAAGGGAAAUGAUGCAAAAAAAAAAAAGAAUUUCAUCAUUCCAAUAUGUGUCUGCCGCAAUUCCAAAAGUUAUUAAUGAAGCACAAUUCAAUUUCGGUAUUAAAAAUCACUUUAUUUUCAUGAUAAUGAAUUGGGGGUAAAGCGCUAUUUCAUCUUAUAGCAAAACAGCCGCACGCUGACAUUCAUAUCGUCCCAGGAAUGACUUCAGAUAACCUCACCAGAGCCUAGACCUAAACCCGAUUGAAAAUCCAUCAAAGGUGACGCUUGGGGUGAUGUACACUGAAAAGAAAUUUAGAUUGUGACGAAUAGACCGCGCUGGGAUUGCAUUCAUGCAUUCGGCGCCAUAACCUUGUAAAUCUGUCGCCGCUCGGCCCAUUCGAAAAGUAGACGGUUUAUUAUCGCCAGCUUGCAACAUGGAAGUGAUGUCAUGGGCCUGUCUGCUCCACGACAACGCUCAUUGUUCCAGCUGCCGACGCGGGACUUCCUGUUUCUGAUAGUAAAACCCCUGAGGGGGAGGGGCAGGGAGGUGUGUUAGGGCUUGUUGUUAAACUUCCAGUUCACCGCAAACAAAUAUUACGGAUUGCAGCACACGUCUUCAUAAGUGCGGCCUUUAAUUUUAACAUUAACUUCUUUCAGUACUAGCCAAUUCUGGACAAAGUCCGAAAAGACGUUUAAAAACGUCUUUGGGAGUGAAUGAGUGAACAUGACAUAUAACUUGUAUUGCUCAAUUUUUUUUUAAAGCUACUUGAACAGCUGAACUUUAUUUGGGCUUAAUGAGAGACACUUGAUGUUGUGGAAAGUGUGUGAAUAUGAUUGAUUCAUUCUGCACCCAGCCACGAGAAGGUGUGCGUACUUAUGCAAUUUCAAAAACACUUUUUUUUUCCCCUCAUUGAGUUGCAGAGGUUAAAGGUCAUGUUAGUAGUGGGGAAAUUUAUGAAAUGAUUGAUUUUGUUUUCUUUUUUUUUAAAUAUAAAUAUCCCCCAAAACAACAAGCAUUUGUGAUUUGUACAUUUUUUUAUGUGCAUUGUGCGUCGUAAACAUCCAAGCAAUUUCACUUUUCAAAACUUCAGCCCGCCACGAUGCCUUGUUGGAAGACCAAUUGACAAACGGUGAUGUAUUUCUCGGUUUACUAUUUAUGAAGCAUGUGAUUGUUUUCUUUUGGGGUUUUUUUGGUCAGUCAUUAUCGUGAAUACGACAUCAACCAAUUGACUAAAAUGAACGUAAUGGCGUAAUUUCUGCAAGAUAAACCAAAAUCAUCAAACACUUUCCCCAAUGCGAGAAUUCAGCGCCGCAGUUUUCAUGUGUGAGAUUUUUUUUCAAAGUGUCGCCCGCGAAAUUACAGCUACAAUCAAUGCUGAUAAUACGUUCACUUCCUAUAUCGCCUCCCUCCUUUGCUUCUCAAAGGUAAUGGUCACAAUUUGCUGCUUUCACUCUCACCCGAGGGGCUCUUUCUUACUCAUUUGGAAAAUGCGAAAGAUUUUUUUUUUGUCUUUCGCCGCAACACUGAAAGCCUUUUGACCCAGCAAGUGAGGUUUUGUUGACAGAUUGAUGCUUUCACACUGACAUUAGCUUGAAUCGUCGACGUUCAGAGGCCACGGGCGCCCCCGUGGAACAAAUGCCCUUCAAUCCCCCCCCCCCCACACACACACACACACACGUACACACCCACCUCCCCCAAAUAAUCCCCUUGUGCCACUGUUAGUGUGGGGUUCUUCUCAGAGCUGCGCGGAAAACGUCGACCUAUUAUUUGCCCUUCCGUCACCAUGUCUGCCUCUUUGCUAAUCAUUAUAUUUAGCAAAGUGGCGCUUUCACCUUUUGAUAGGUGCUGUUGUGGAUGAUGCGGAUGAAUACAAAAAAAAAAAAAACGGGGAAAAAAUAACAUGAUAAGGUGGUGACACCGAUGCAAACCUUUGCAGCGGUAAAAAGAGCCCGACACGCUCAUGCAAAGAGGAGGAAACACUUUUUGAAACACUGGGAAAAUUUCAAUGUCGUGAGAGAACACAGUGCAAUGUGACGUUGGACCUGAAAUUCAAUUACGUUUUUAUUCAUGUUCAUAAAUCGUAAACUCAAACUUUUGGAAUAAACUGUACUUGUCAGCGUCGUUUUAAUGCAUAAUUUAACUUCAGUAUUUUAGUUACAAAAUGUGCCGGUAGGUGCGUGUAUUUUGGUGCGAUAUGUGCUUGGUUAGUUAAUUUAAAACCAUCCCUCAAAGUUGAAUUUUAUGAAGAUGAACCCUUUGAGGGACAUUGGUCACUACAGUGGACAGUUAAUCAUGUUAUCAGGUUACAGGGUGCAUGAAAGGGUUGAGUUUGUUUUGAGGUGAUCAUGUCACUCAUAUUUAUCGAUUUAUUCAUCAUGCUCCGAUUAAAAUAAGUCACCAGUUGCUUAUAAGUUACGCAGUACUUUAAAUAUUUUUUUGUUGUCAUUUUAUUCUAUUCUGAGUACAAUUUUUAGGCUAUGAUGCCUUCCUCCGCUUUUAUGUUGUGAAGCAGAUAGCCAGCGUCGCACUUUUUGUACCGUUCAUUUAUUUCAAACAUUUCUACCUCUCUGUGUCGAUGGAACUCGGGUGGACCAAACAAAUCGAAGAACAACGUAAAGCUAUGAGUUGCGCGUGACCGCUUAGCAAGGAGCUGAUUGGCUGACACCAAGAACAUGGCGGACACACGAUAAAAAUCAACUCACGAUUUUUAUUUCUCUAUUUUUUAAUAUCAAAUGGAGUUCCAAACGUUUUUAUCGCUCAUUUAUUUCAAACAUUUAUACCUCUCCAUCGAUGGAACUUGGGUAGACAAAACAAAUUGAAGAACGCCGUAAGGCGAUGAGUUGCACGUGACCGCUUAGCAAGGAGCCGAUUGGCUGACGCCAAGAACAUGGCGGACACACGAUAAAAUCAACUAACGAUUUUGAUAUCUUUAUUUUUUUAAUCUCUAAAGGAGUUUAUAUCAGAAAAUAACUUAAGUUUCUAUCCACACAAUUCCACCAAUGUGUCACGAAAGUGCAAGCCAGAAGUGCAAUAGCAUUGGCGUUUUGGAAUGUUUGGAUUCUGGUAAGGGCAACAGGGUAAUGUUGUCUUUACUACAAACAUGAGGUAUUGUCGAACCCCACUCGCACCGGGUCACUGCAGAGGGGAGUUCAGAGGGUCCAAAAGCUGCCCCCCUUUUUUUUUUGCCUAAGCACACACACACACACACACAUAGACAUCGCCUUGUCAAAGGAUCCUUUAUCCACUGUUUGUUUGUUUGUUUGUUUGUUUGUCCCCCCCCCCGGAGAAAAAUAAACUAUUGUUUCCUUAACUGGUGAUUAAAACGAUGGGGACGGGCAGCAAGUGUGCUGAAGCCUGAAUUGUUUGAGGUCCAGGUCUGGAUUUUGUCAAUUUUUAUGGUCGACAUCCUUAUCUUGUUCUCCACUUCCUACGUCUCCGGCUUUGAAUGCGUGUGGCUUUAAAUGAUCAUGCAGGCCGUGCCGGAGCUGAACACCUGCUUGACGCGGCCCUGCUUGAGAGCGCCACAGAGCUGGGCCAUGUUCAAGCACCGCUCUGUGACUUUAAACUCCCCCUUUAUGUUGGAGUAGAAAAGAGAAGGUGAAGGGCAGUAUGUUUGAAUGAACCCUUUCAGGGACACCGGUUACUCCAACGGACAUGUUAUAAGGUUACGGGUUAUCAUUAUUUGUGCGUGAAGGGGUUAAACAUGCGCUUGUGUUACCCAUUGUCUGGUGAGUUCCAGGAUGCUCCGUCGGGUAACGCCUGCGAGGAUGAUGCCGUUCAGGGGUGGCGUCGCAAGCUCUUCCUCUAAAUAUUGGAAACAUAAGUAAAGUCAAUUUUAUUAAAACACACCGUGAACAUAUUUUGAGCACACACAAAAAUAAUUGCAAGCAUAAAUGUCCAGGAAAAUAUUAUACAUAUGAUUGUGUCGGUCAGGAUGGGCUGACCUCCAUCCUCAUUGAUCCAGUGGACAAAGAUAUUCGAGUUUCCUGUUUCAGUGAUUUGAUGGUCCUCGCCGUACAGCCACAGAACCUGUUGACAACCAUUGUCCUCUCCCUCAGACUGUGCAACCAGGCCCCCGCAAUAGUUCCUAACAAAAAAAUAAAAAAUAACAUCACACUUAUUUGUGUGAUUUGAAUGUACACUAAUUAUCAAAUGUGCAGGCUUCCCACCCUCCCAUCUUGUAAUCUCCGGUCCCUCCUUGCCAGGCCCGUGUGUACUUUGCGUCGGCCCACAAGGAGAGGCCUUUUGGCGUCGCCUGAUAAACAGAACCCGGUAGG